CUUCUUCAUUUGAUGCCACCAGCCCCACUUUAACUCAUCUCCCACAAGCAUUCAAUAGCAGUAACAUCUUCUACUUCUAAGAUUAGCCAUCUUUUUUUUUACUUCUAAGAUUAGCCAUCUCUCACCUUUUCCCUGCCACUAACUCGAACUCUAUAUAUUGAAGUAGUGAAAAUCACUCAAACUCGAUUAAGUAGCACCAUCAUUCAUUUAUAUGAUCCAGCAUCAAAAGUCCAAAAAAAAAAUCAUUAUUAUCAUUUUCAUAUGUUCAUUUUUUAGUUCAAGUCCAUGCUCACUACUUCUUUAAAUUGGAAUCCACAACCUAGAAACUUCAUGGCUUUUCAUAUUUCUACAUUCAUUAAUCUUUCCCAUCUUCCUAGUUUGAUCUACGGGGACUAAUAGCAAUAGUUAUGACGUGUUUCUGAGCUUUAACAUGAAUUCUACAAAUAAAACCUCUGCAACUCUAUGUAGCCCUCUUCUCCGCCGAAAAUUUUCUUUCAGGGUAAAAUUCAAGACGAGUUAGCUAGAGCGUAGAGUGAUGUGGAUGAUAGUUCACCAGUUGAUGAACUCGAGGUACUCAAAAGUGCCUUGGGUCAUAGGAAUGGGCACGCACGCGGUGUUGGUCGUGUUGUUAAAAAUGUCACCCACGAAAUAUCGAGCUCAUACCCCCCGCCAUGUUAACAACAACAAUUGGAAGAAAUGCAACAAAUGCGACAAGAAAUACAAGAAACGCGACAACAACAAGUGCAAGUGCAACCAUUCUCAAACCAAGCAAUAAUGGAACUACUAC